UACGUAGGGGCCUAGCGUUGUCCGGAAUCAUUGGGCGUAAAGAGCUCGUAGGCGGUCUGUCACGUCUGCUGUGAAAACCCGAGGCUCAACCUCGGGCCUGCAGUCGAUACGGGCAGACUAGAGUUCGGUAGGGGAGGCUGGAAUUCCUGGUGUAGCGGUGAAAUGCGCAGAUAUCAGGAGGAACACCGGUGGCGAAGGCGGGUCUCUGGGCCGAAACUGACGCUGAGGAGCGAAAGCGUGGGGAGCGAACAGG
rnacentral:rRNA from 1 species